UGUCGGCCUUGCGACGCUCGUGCCGCCGCAACGAAAUGAUACCCGACGCGAUGCAUUUUCGUGUGUAAAUUAUUUCCACUGUUCAAUUCAGAAAAUCACGUGAAAUGUCGAACAAUGUUUGCGGCAACUGAACGUGCCUCGUCACAUGUUAUUUUCGAAACGAUUCACCGAGUCGCAUCGAUUAAGGAGAGACACCCCGUAUACGGAUGCUUGAUAAAUGCACAUCCCGAUGCACUUAUCUUUGCGCAAUCCGCGACUUGCGGACUGCCUCGACAGAUGUCGCUAGACAUCUGUAAAGAACAACGUUUUGUCUUCUUGUUGUCUCAUUGUUGUCUUGUUGUUACAGCAAGUGUAGAAUUGUGCGCGCGUUUAUUGAGAAAAGGAUUUGCAUUUUCGCUUGCAAUAGACAGCUACGAUUUUUUUUUAAUUUGCUCACGUUUUUCCACACUGUCCCGUGAUAAUUUAUUUAAUGCAGAGAAUAUCAGGGAAGUGUUGUAGUUUAGAUUUAUAUAAAUAUAUUUUUGUCUACGUUUUUAACACGUUAUAUCUCACGUUAUGUAAGAAGUUGUUGGAAAUUAUGCGUCAACACGCGAUUAAGAGUAAACGGCGAGUAAGAAGGAUUCCCACUUAGCGCGAUAUGAAUAAUGCACAGAGCUACAAUGUGUCGUUCGUCACGUCCAUAAAAAUCAGGCAAGAAUUAUUUAAUUACUACUAGUACAGAGUCUAUUUAAAAUUUCGAAUAUUAUUUGCAAAACCUGAAUUGCAGUUUAGAAAAAACGUCUUUUUUUUCUCUCUCAUUUAUUUUAUUGUACAAAUUCUGUCUCGUUUAUUUCUAUCAUUUUAAACUUCGUAAAUUGAAAUCACGUGAGGAAGACAAAUAUACAAAUAAGUAACAAUUUUUCUGUUUUUCAAAAGUUCAAAGAGAAAGACAGAAGAAUGUCAACAUCACUGAAGUCAGUUUCGAACGUUGUUUUUCGCGAAGACGUCAGUCUCGUUUCCAUGGCGAACGGAGGGAACUGCCGCGAGAAUGGCCAUGAGAGUGAGAAGGCAGCCCACCGCAACCCCCGGGUCGAUAAUCUGCCACCCUCGCGAAGGAGUAGUUUGUUCGCGACGUUGCUCGUCGACAGUCGAUCGGUCAGUUGGUCGGUCGGUCAGUUGAUUCAUUAGUUGCAUGUCGGCGUUACAUGGGACACCAAUUGUCAAGGCUGUUAUCACGGGUCUUCUUUCCAGACCUGAGACCUCGCAGCGGCAUGGUACCGCAUCCUCUUCGUUCUGCAACCUUGGGUAACCGCGUCAUCUCGCAAACGCCGUGAAACGUGAAAUUCAACAAGGAGCUGCAAGAACGGAUAAUCUCGCGCGUCUCUUUUUGACCGUUAAUCGCGAAAUGAUUGCUUGCUUCAUUUUGGACGCGAGAAAAGGAUCAUAGUCGCAUCAUAGUCUGACAAUGUGAAACAAAGUAUUUGAAAUGCUCGAGGCAACGCGGUUCAAGUAGUGAAGUUCGAAAUCGUCGGGGACGAUUUCCGACUUUCGAAACACAGUAUACAAGAGACGAUGUUAAAAUAGAAUGAUGCGUUGCGGCGCAGCCGGAUUGUUGGGUUGUUGGUCGUUCAUUCAGCAUUGCGGCACGACUUGACAUCAUCGUUCGGAUUUCGGUGAGAUACCAGAAGACGUGCCAGAAGGCGACGACGACCAAGAUGACGAUGACAAUCGCGGAUGCUACUGGGUGUCGCCUGGUAUCUCCGGAACCGAAAUAGAGCGGGCGUACGGUGGUUUCGACGCCGUUUCAAGGACGCGGACACGCGAGUAGGAAACACGCAAAGCGUAUUUCCCUGAAAAGUGAACUUCACUUUCGCUGUUGGUCGAUCGAUAAGAAGCCGUCGUGAUGACGGCUCGAUAAGGAUAAUCCACGUGGAUUUUCACGAAAAAACAACCGUCACGCGAUUACUUAUAAUGCGAGCGAUUUGUCUUAUUUCUGAAAAUCGAGGUCGGAUUCAUGUGAACGAAGGUGAUGCAGAGUGACGUUGUCUCCUGUAUGAAGAAGAAGAAUCAUGAAAUUAUCAUUCAAUUUUUAA